rnacentral:rRNA from 1 species
AUUGAACGCUGGCGGCAUGCCUUACACAUGCAAGUCGAACGGUAACAGGUCUUCGGAUGCUGACGAGUGGCGAACGGGUGAGUAAUACAUCGGAACGUGCCUAGUAGUGGGGGAUAACUACUCGAAAGAGUGGCUAAUACCGCAUGAGAUCUACGGAUGAAAGCAGGGGAUCGCAAGACCUUGUGCUACUAGAGCGGCCGAUGGCAGAUGAGGUAGUUGGUGGGAUAAAAGCUUACCAAGCCGACGAUCUGUAGCUGGUCUGAGAGGACGAUCAGCCACACUGGGACUGAGACACGGGCCAGACUCCUACGGGAGGCAGCAGUGGGGAAUUUUGGACAAUGGGCGUAAGCCUGAUCCAGCAAUGCCGCGUGCAGGAUGAAGGCCUUCGGGUUGUAAACUGCUUUUGUACGGAACGAAAAGCCCCGGGUUAAUACCCUGGGGUCAUGACGGUACCGUAAGAAUAAGCACCGGCUAACUACGUGCCAGCCGCCGCAGUAA